rnacentral:rRNA from 1 species
GAGUUUGAUCCUGGCUCAGGACGAACGCUGGCGGCGUGCCUAAUGCAUGCAAGUCGAGCGACGAAUAGGUGCGGGUAACCAAGCCUAUUACGGAGCGGCGAACGGGUGAGUAACACGUGAGCAACCUGCCCCGCAGACCGGGAUAGCCCAGGGAAACUUGGAUUAAUACCGGAUAUUCUCUUAGAACCGCAUGGCUUCAUAGAGGAAAUGCUUUUGCGCUACGGGAUGGGCUCACGGCCUAUCAGCUUGUUGGUGGGGUAACGGCCUACCAAGGCGUCGACGGGUAGCUGGUCUGAGAGGACGAUCAGCCACACUGGGACUGAGACACGGCCCAGACUCCUACGGGAGGCAGCAGCAGGGAAUCUUGCGCAAUGGGCGAAAGCCUGACGCAGCAACGCCGCGUGGGGGAUGAAGGCCUUCGGGUUGUAAACCCCUUAAGGAGGGACGAAAUUGACGGUACCUCCAGAAUAA